UUAAUAGUAUGGAGUGAAUGAUGGUGUUGAUAGAAACAUAUGACGAAGGAUGGCGAUGGCGUUGAAGAUAUGAUUAAAGAGAGGGAUAAAAAAUAUCAAUCACUAAUUAAUAUAUUUAAUUUUUUUUUUAUAGAUUCUUUUAAUUUUCUUAAUAUUUAAAAUAUAUUUAUUGAAAUGGAAGAAAAAGUUUAAUGACAAGAAUAUUGUUUUGACCAAGUAUGUCAUGUCAUUAAUAGACAUGUCAUCAAAAUUGACCAUAAAAUGGAGU
rnacentral:lncRNA from 1 species